UCCCUGGAGGACUGGUGGUUAGGCCUUGGCGUUCUCACCGCCAUGGCCCGGGUUCGAUUCCUGGCCAAGGAA